GGGUCAUCCUCUCUGACUGGAGGUUUAAAUUAAGGAGACUUUCACUACCAGCUCAACGUGAAUGAACUCGGAAACGUGACACUCUGUGAAAAGAAGCCAGGACGACAUUCCAAAGAAAGGAAUAAUAGUCAUAACAGAAUCUGAAAAACUGCGAAGCGGGUUGAUGAUCAUUGGAGGUAUGUGCAGUUUGGGGCUGUUAUGAACAAAGCUGAUAAGAACAUUUGAGUGCAAUCUGCUGUGGACAUAUGGUAGGAGUGAAGGUCCUGGAUCCCAUGACAGGAAACCGAAGUCCUCCAAGGCUACCGGCUGCGCCAGCGCCGUGCCCCCUGCCUCACCCCACCCCACCCCGGGGCCGGGCUCCCCGCGCACUCCCUUCUGCUGCUCUGUGUAGCCUGGGCCAUCCGCUCACAUUUUCAUGGGGAGGGUUCGUGAACUCUGGAGGGUCUGACACUGGAGUCCUCGGCAACCCCUGGGUUUGAUGAUUACCUGUGAAUUUUACUUGUGGAAACAUCUCUGCCCCCAUGUGCAAUUAGGAGUGAACAACACUAGAUUUAUAGCCUGAUGCAACCAGGAUUUUCUUCCUCAUUUCCACGAGCUGAAAUACAAACUGAA